UACGAAGGGGGCUAGCGUUGUUCGGAAUCACUGGGCGUAAAGGGCGCGUAGGCGGCUUUAUAAGUCUGCCGUGAAAACCUGAGGCUCAACCUCGGGCGUGCGGUGGAUACUGCCGGGCUAGAGGACGGUAGAGGCGAGUGGAAUUCCCGGUGUAGCGGUGAAAUGCGUAGAUAUCAGGAGGAACACCUGCGGUGUAGACAGCUUACUGGACCACUUCUGACGCUGAGACACGAAAGCGUGGGUAGCAAACAGG
rnacentral:rRNA from 1 species